rnacentral:rRNA from 1 species
AUUGAACGCUGGCGGCAUGCUUUACACAUGCAAGUCGAACGGUAACAGGCCGCAAGGUGCUGACGAGUGGCGAACGGGUGAGUAAUGCAUCGGAACGUGCCCAGUCGUGGGGGAUAACUACUCGAAAGAGUAGCUAAUACCGCAUACGAUCUAUGGAUGAAAGCGGGGGACCGUAAGGCCUCGCGCGAUUGGAGCGGCCGAUGUCAGAUUAGGUAGUUGGUGGGGUAAAGGCUCACCAGGCCAACGAUCUGUAGCUGGUCUGAGGGACGACCAGCCACACUGGGACUGAGACACGGCCCAGACUCCUACGGGAGGCAGCAGUGGGGAAUUUUGGACAAUGGGCGCAAGCCUGAUCCAGCAAUGCCGCGUGCAGGAAGAAGGCCUUCGGGUUGUAAACUGCUUUUGUACGGAACGAAACGGCUCUGGUUAAUACCCGGGGCUAAUGACGGUACCGUAAGAAUAAGCACCGGCUAACUACGUG